UACGUAGGGGGCAAGCGUUGUCCGGAAUCAUUGGGCGUAAAGCGCGCGUAGGCGGCCCGGUAAGUCCGUUGUGAAAGUCAAAGGCUCAACCUUUGAACGCCGAUGGAUACUGCCGGGCUAGAGUCCGGAAGAGGCGAGUGGAAUUCCUGGUGUAGCGGUGGAAUGCGCAGAUAUCAGGAGGAACACCGGUGGCGAAGGCGGCAUCCUGGACCAACACUGACGCUGAGGAGCGAAAGCCAGGGGAGCAAACGGG
rnacentral:rRNA from 1 species